UCGGGCGUGACUCAGCAGCUAAGCACCAGAAACAUUAAGGGACAAGGGAAUUUAGAGUCGAUGUCUUGUGAUGCGGUGAAAAUAUCCCGAAUCUUGACCGGGAGGCCUGGGUUCAAUUCACAGCGAGUGCAGGAUGAGGCUGUCACUGGCUCGGCCAGCAUUUAUUGCUGCGUUUACCCAGAGGGCAGUUAAGAGUCAACUGCGUUGCUAUAGGUCUGGAGUCCCAUGCAGACCAGACCAGAUCCCAGUGAUCAGUGCCAAAGCCCCAUUGCCUGUGGAAAAGGUGAUGUUUGACUUCCUGUACAGCUGCAAUUCGUGUGGUGAAGGUGCUCCCACAAUGUG